UAGUGGGGUAGAGGCGCGAUAUUUAAUAGUUUUUCAUGGAGUUUUGAGCAACAGUGAAAUGAAGAAGAAGGAAAUAUCGCCGAAGUGUAUCGGAAAGCUCGUAAUUCGAUAUGCUGGGCUUGCAGUGAAUAAUUGCAGGACUGUCUUGAGUAUUUCUUUCCAGCUUACUCAAGUUGUGCUAUCUCAUCA
rnacentral:ncRNA from 2 species